UGGUCAUGUUAUUAAGGGUGCAGGGCGGAUGCCUUGGCACUAGGAGCCGAUGAAGGACGUGAUAAGCUGCGAUAAGCUUCGGGGAGUUGCACGUAAACUUUGAUCCGAAGAUUUCCGAAUGAGGAAACUCACUUAGAGUAAUGUCUAAGUAUCAUUAAGUGAAUACAUAGCUUAAUGAGGGGAACUCAGGGAACUGAAACAUCUAAGUACCUGAAGGAAGAGAAAGAAAUUCGAUUCCGUAAGUAGCGGCGAGCGAACGCGGAUUAGCCCAAACCAAUAAAGUGUUCUUUAUUGGGGUUGCGGACAUAUCAUAACGAAGAGGUAUCGUAAUUGAAGAGGUUUGGAAAGACCCACCACAGAAGGUAAUAGUCCUGUAUGUUAAACGAGAAGACUU
rnacentral:rRNA from 1 species